AAAGAGUUUUAAUUUGGCUUUAAGGAUUAAUAAAUAAAUUUAUUGCAUGAAAAUAUUUAUAGUUAUAAAUAGUUUUUUAAAUAAAAAUUAUUUUUAUUUGAAUCUCAGCAAUUAAUUUUAAAUUUAUAGGAAAUUAUGAUUUAGAAAUUUAUUGUUUUUCUAACAAAAUUUGUGCCAGCAGUUGCGGUUAUACAGAUAGGAAUUUAAUUUUUAUUAGUUUAUAGUAAUUAAUUUUUAAAAUUUAAAGAUUGAAUUUAUUAAGUGAAAUUUUAAGUUUAAAUAAUAUUAAAUUAAAUUUUUUGAGUCUAUUAAAUUAUAAAAUAAACUAGGAUUAGAUACCCUAUUAUUAAAAUGUAAAUAUAAAACUUAAUUAUUAUUAGUUAUGUUCUUGAAAAUUAAAAAUUUUGGCGGUAUUUUAGUCUAUUCAGAGGAACCUGUCCUAUAAUUGAUAAUCCACGAUUAAUUGUACUUAUUAUAAAUAGUUUGUAUAUCGUCGUAUAUUGAAUAUUUUUUAAAAAUAUAAAUAUUCAAAAUUUAUUUAAUAAAAAAAUUCAGAUCAAGGUACAGCUUAUUAUUAAGAAGAGAUGGGUUACAAUAAAUAUAUUUAUAGAUAAAAAUUUUAAAAAUUUUUUGAAAUUGGAUUUGAUAGUAAUUUUAUUAAUUUAAAUAAAAUGAUUUUAGCUCUAAAAUAUGCACAUAUCGCCCGUCACUUUCACUUAAAGUGAAAUAAGUCGUAACAAAGUAGAUGUACUGGAAAGUGUAUCUAGAAUAAC
rnacentral:ncRNA from 1 species